rnacentral:rRNA from 1 species
GACGAACGCUGGCGGCGUGCUUAACACAUGCAAGUCGAGCGGUAAGGCCCUUUCGGGGGUACACGAGCGGCGAACGGGUGAGUAACACGUGGGUGACCUGCCCUCAGCUCUGGGAUAAGCCUGGGAAACCGGGUCUAAUACUGGAUAUGACUCCAUGACGCAUGUUGUGGGGUGGAAAGCCUUGUGCGGCUGAGGAUGGGCCCGCGGCCUAUCAGCUUGUUGGUGGGGUGAGGCCUACCAAGGCGACGACGGGUAGCCGGCCUGAGAGGGCGACCGGCCACACUGGGACCGAGACACGGCCCAGACUCCUACGGGAGGCAGCAGUGGGGAAUCUUGCGCAAUGGGCGAAAGCCUGACGCAGCGACGCCGCGUGAGGGAUGACGGCCU